rnacentral:misc_RNA from 1 species
UUGAUUCAUUUUUUUAAUGUAUAAUCAGAGUUCUAGGUUCAAAAAAGAGUUUGUUUGUCCCUCGGCGGGCGUGGUGCCCGCCGAAGCAACGUAUGGUAUGUUCACAGUGGGUUGGGAGUUUGGUAAACUCGGUAAUGAUCCCUCCGCUGGUUCACCAACGGAGA